CUGCUUGACGGAGUCCCAAGUCUAAGCUGAGGAGAGAGUCUAAGCUUGGGGCCCAAGGCUGGAGUUCCCCAGAUAGGAGGGGCUGUGAUGCGAGCGACACCCGGCCCAGCACCGCCAGGCUGGGGACACUCCACUCCUUCAUCAAUUUAUUCCAAAAUAUUUUGAGCCCCUCCUAUGCUCCAGGCGGCGUCAUAAGCGGUGUGGACAAAAGAGAGAACGAGAUUGUCUCGUGCCCAACUAAUGGACAACUACCCUGCAGAACCAAGAGGGAGCGGUCACAGAGGGGGCCCUGAUCCAGACUUGGGGAGGUCAGGGAAGGCUUCUGGAGGAGCUGGUGGCUAAAAGAACUAAAGGAUGUGCAUGAAUUAUCCGGUUGGAGUGACCUGGGGAGGUAGAUUGUCCCAGGUGGAGCCGGAGGGGAGAGGGAGCCGGCUGUCUGAAAACUGAAGGGUCUAAGGAGCCGAAAGAACUUGGUAUGGCCAGUAAAUCCUUGCCACACUUCACGUUCAGACCCCUGGAAAGAUGCAGAAAGAUUGUGUCUGAGGCUGGAUGUAUUCCACUAGGCGCAUGACUGGUUGGUGAGGAUUUCGAAUCUCCCACGUGUUGCGCAUUCCCGCUGGUGGAGGAGCUAAGAGGAUACUCGUGGACCGUUCACUGCAAUUUACCCGAGCAUCUGUGAGCCAGGCACUCUGCAGGACCCUUAGGAUGUGCUGUGGAAGGAGGCUGUGUCUCUACGCAAAAGGAGCUACAAGUCUGCUGUGGGGGAGAGACCUGUAAUCAGCGCUUGGAUGAGGUGCAUGGGAACACAGGAUCACAAUACGUGGAAUCAAAAGAACUAGGGUUUGAGUCCUGAUUCUAUCCACUGUUCCAGCUUCCUGCCCUUGGAGUGAAGGAAGACCAUGACAGUCGCGUGGGAAGAGACUCUUGAAUCUUAACGGUUGAUUGAAGCUUUGCCAAGCAGGUAGUGGAGAAAGAAUAUUCCAAGCAGAGGCAACAGGACAGACAGAAGCCUGCAGGAUCCUGGAGCCAAGAAAGAAUCAGGUAAUGAGAAGGCAGUGGAAGUUUGUCGGAUGAAGAAAAGGAAGCACGAAUGGGUCACUGGGCAGGAAAACAUGGGGAAACGAAGCCCGUUGGGGUGCACGUACCAUCAGUGUGUUUCCCACACAUCUAUCUGAGGUUCUGGGGUUGAGUGAUGAGUCUGAACUGCACAUUAUUUCCCCAAAGCUACAAAAUGUGAAAUUCAGAGACACCCAGCAAUAUGCUGCAGUCAUUCAUUCAGCCCAGAAUGCUGUGAACAAUCACCCAAACAAAACAGUCCUUGAGGCCACUCACAGCUGUGCAGCUGAUCCUGCCCCACAGAGUUCCUGGCCAUAUUGACCAACUCAGGAGUUCUGAAAUACAGAUGCUGGCACAUUCCAAGUGUGAACCUAAGACGACUUCUGGCCUCCUGUGCACUGUUUUAGGUCAACGGGAUACAGUAGCGGACAACUGACAAAAAUCUCUGCCCUCAGACAAGAAACAAAACUAGAAACUGCCCACUUGCCUGUUGCCCUGAGUCCUUCCAGAAAAUCGUUGCACUCUGGCAAAAGCACAAAAACCGGCUGCCAAGAUCCUAAGGAGAAGGAGUGCAUUUGUGGGGCAGGUGGAAGCUCGGGGGGUGUCACUGCUCUCGGCACGCUUGCUCGGUCAUCGGCUGUUACUCCGGGCUCAGCCGCUUGGCCCUGGCUUCCUAACACGGGUUCUGCUGCUGCGUUAAGAAGGCCUCCCGCUACUGCUCCAACGGAAAUCCAGUGCCAAGGGCUCUUCUCUCAAAAUUGGCAUCAUCCGAGAACAUGGAAAAAAAUCAAGACCUUCACAGACGAACAGCUGGAAAAGGGGGGCCUUGUGGAAAUAGUCUGAAAUGGCCUCAGGGACUUAAGGUCCUUGGAUUACACGUUGAGACCCAGUGAUUCAGAGGAAGAUGGAGCCACAGUAUAUAAAGUGUCCUGGUUCCUGAAUGACCUCAUGGAAGGCUGCCCACCAGAAACACCCCCACUGAACUACGAUGCAAAUGAGAAAUGACCUUUGAUGGCAUUAAGCCACUAAGAUUUGGGGAUUUAUGUGUGAAAGCAGCUAGCAUUAGUCUAAUUAAAACAUUACCUCUAUGCCAGGCACUGUUUAAGCACUUUGCAUACACUAACUCAUUCAGUCAUCUCAACAAUCCUAUGAAGUAGUUGCUUGUAUAGUCUCCAUUUUAGAGGUGAAGAAACUGAGGCACAGAGAGGUGAACUAAAAUAUCCAAAGUCAUGCAACUAGUAAGCAAGUCUACUUCUAGAGUUCUUGCUCCCGGUCAUUUCACCAUGCUGCCUACUCACCUUACCUACAUAUUUCCCAGCACCAUCUUACACCUUAUACUCCAGACAAGCAAGGCAGACCAGGAGAAGUCUGGAAGAUCUGAAGUUUGAGAAGGACUGGAUGCUUCACUGAGGGAUGUGAAGAUGGAGGGACCAUGUGAGAAGGAAUACGAUGGCCUCUAGGAGCAAAGACCAGACCUCACCUGACAGCCAGCAAGGAAAUGAGAACUUCAGACCUACAGCCUCAGGGAUCUGAAUUCAGCCAACAACUUGAAUGCAAUUAGAAGUGAAUUUUUCCCCAGGGCCUCCCCCUGGCCCACACUUGAUUUGGGUCUUGCAAUACUCUGAGUAGGGACCUGGCUGAGUCUACCUUGAUUUCUGAUGUACAGACCUGUAAGUGAGUAGAUGAGUGUUUUUUUAAGCUGCUAAAUUUAUGGUAAUUUGUUACACAUCUAUACAAAACUAAUAGAGAGGGUAACUCAAGAGACAUCCUGUCCCAGGGUACUUGCUUAAGUAAGAACGUCUUUGCUAUUUUGUCCCUAUUCCUGGCAACUAGUAACAAAUAACCCUAAGUACCAGUAAGUUUUCCUACACAAAUAAAAACAAGUAAAAGAAACCCAAACCACAUAUUUCCUUAUGAAUAUUUUCAGUCUACCACUGGCAACUUUAAAACUAGUGAUCCAUAAUAGUUUAUUAUUAUAAGCCACAGAAAAACUAAGAAAUGUUUUAAGGCAACAUGUUUCUUGUAAUCUAUUAACCUCUCUCAUAGUCUACUCUUAAAAAGAAGUCUUAGAAAGUCCCAGAAUUAAACCCCACACUCACGCACAGACCUUGUAAAAUGUGUGCAGCAGAUUCUCAGGGCUUUUAUUUUUUAAGGUAUUUAAAAAUUUUUUUCAAGGGAGACGUAUAUAUGUAUCUGAAAGUAAACUCUAUGGAUGUAAAUAAUUAUUUUUAUAUCUUGCUCUUUCGUUAAAAAACAGCCUCUUUACAAUCCUGCAGUCCCACACCUGGGUAUUUUUCUGGAGAAAAACAUGAUCGGAAAGGAUACAUGCACCCCAAUGUUCAUUGCAGCACUGUUUACAAUAGCCAAGAAAUGGAAGCAACCUAAAUGUCCAUUCACAGAAGAAUGGACAAAGAAGAUGUGGUACAUAUAUACAUUAAAAAGAAUGAAAUAAUGCUAUUUGCAGCAACAUGGAUGGACCUAGAGAUUGUCAUACUGAGUGAAGUCAGAGAACGUGAACAUGAGGAACCUAAAAAAAAUGAUACAAAUGAACUUAUCUGCAAAGCAGAAACAGACUCACUGACUUAGAGCACGAACUUAUGGUUACUGGGGGGAUGGGUGGGGGGAAGGGAUAGUUAGGGAGUUCAGGACUGCCAUGUACGCACUGCUAUAUUUAGAGUGGAUAACCAACAAGGACCUACCGUAUAGCACGGGGAACUCUGCUCAAUAUUAUGUAACAAGCUAAAUGGGAGAAAACUUUGAAAAAGAAUAGAUACAUGUACAUGUAUAGCUGAAUCACUUUGCUGUACACUUGAAACUAGCACAACAUCGCUAAUCAACUAUACUCCAAUAUAAAAUAAAAAGUUUUUUUAAAAAAGAGGACUUCUCUAGUGGCACAGUGGUUAAGAAUCCACCUGCCAAUGCAGGGGACACGGGUUCGAGCUCUGGUCCGGGAAGAUCCCACAUGUGGUGGAGCAACUAAGCCCGUGUGCCACAAUUACUGAGCCUGCGCUCUAGAGCCCCCGAGCCACAACUACUGAGCCCACGUGCCACAACUACUGAAGCCCGCGUGCCUAGAGCCUGUGCUCCUCAACAAGUGAAGUCUGCACACUGCAACGAAGAGUAGCGCCUGCUCGCCACAACUAGAGGAAGCCCGCGCGCAGCAACGAAGACCCAAUGCAGCCAUAAGGAAAUAAAUAAAUAUAUUUUAAAAAGAAGAAGUAAAAAAUAAUAUUAAAUUAGGGGAAAGUUUAGAAUACUCACCAAAUAUCACAAGUUCCUACACUCCCAUAAGAGAUGGCUUUGAGACUCCUAGAUGCUAAAGAAGAUUCUUAGAGUCCUUUAGAUAAAAGGAAACUAGUUUCUGAGAAGAAGAAUUUUUCUAGUUCUCUAAGAGAAAUCUCUUUUAUGGACCGUACCACUCAGCAUAGGCUAAGGUCUGCUGCAGUAAUUAAAAAUAUAUAUAUAUAUCCCCGGGGCUUCCCUGGUGGCGCAGU